CCUACGGGAGGCAGCAGUGGGGAAUAUUGGACAAUGGGCAAAAGCCUGAUCCAGCCAUGCCGCGUGUGUGAAGAAGGCCUUCGGGUUGUAAAGCACUUUCAGUGGGGAAGAAAGCCUUGGGGCUAAUACCCUCGAGGAAGGACAUCACCCACAGAAGAAGCACCGGCUAACUCCGUGCCAGCAGCCGCGGUAAUACGGAGGGUGCGAGCGUUAAUCGGAAUUACUGGGCGUAAAGCGCGCGUAGGCGGUCUGAUAAGCCGGUUGUGAAAGCCCCGGGCUCAACCUGGGAACGGCAUCCGGAACUGUCAGGCUAGAGUGCAGGAGAGGAAGGUAGAAUUCCCGGUGUAGCGGUGAAAUGCGUAGAGAUCGGGAGGAAUACCAGUGGCGAAGGCGGCCUUCUGGACUGACACUGACGCUGAGGUGCGAAAGCGUGGGUAGCAAACAGGAUUAGAUACCCUAGUAGUC
rnacentral:rRNA from 1 species